GUAAAUUGCUGAAGUCCUCUGUGGCAAAGUCCAUGUUUUCCAGUUUCUGCCCUCUUAUUCUCUUUUGAUUGAGGAAAGGGGAGGAGGGUGCACAAUACAGACAGAUUAUGGUUAUCAGGUACUCUGCAUAUGGAGGAGCCAUUUUGGAGACUGAGCAAGGCCGUUGCUACAGUCAGCAAACAAGUGUUUCAUUCCCACUGACAUCGCUGUGGAGAUGCAAGAGGAACACCACAUUCUAAAACUUACUGCAGUUCAUGGAAAAAAAUGGAGCUGGGAAUUUAUAGCAGACCUGGCAAGAAUGAAUGGUGAUGUGGGAUAAACUGAAGGGAUUGUCCUUGGCAAGCUCAAGGUAAGAGCAUACCUGUACUUCCACUUCAGAGAGUAAGUUGAAGUA